AUCAUCUGAGUUUGGUGUUUGCUUACAAAAUGGAUCUCAUUGUAAUGUGGUUUUUGGGUGGCCUUUCCUUAAGCUUCUGCUCCAUUUUUGUCACUGCAUUUCUUAAGACAGGCACAAGUCUGCACUGAAUGUUUUUAAAUGGGUGGGUGAACCCAUUCCUCCACUAGAGGCCAUAACUAUCUACUAGAUAUUGUCUCUUAAGAUCCAUCCCCCUGCUCUUAGUUAUUUCAGCUAAGGUCAUCAGUAUUGGAUCCUGGAAGCAUCUUGUAUCCCUGGUGUCUAGGCCCACUCUAACCUUCACAGAUUCCACAAUCCAACAAUAGGAAACUGAACCUGCAUUUUAAAAUACAUUUAUAGGAAAAUUAGUUUCCUGGUUGUGUUUGUUACUUUGUUGCUGUUGUUGUUUUCUCAUUAUCUAAUUGACACAAACUAAAGUUAACUGAGAAGAAUGAAUAAAUACCAUUUGGCAAAAUGUCUCCAUAUGAUGUGUCUGUGGCCAAGCCUACGUGACCUUUUUUAAAUUACUGAUUGAUCUCGGAGGGGCCAGCCCAUUAUGAGUGGUGCCAUCCCAGGGCAACUGACACUGUACUUACCUCGUAAGCAAGCAGGCUAAGAAUGCUAUGGGGAGCAAGUCAGUAAGCAUCAUGAUUCUUAUGUGUCCUCUGCUUUAAUAUGUACAUCCUACUUCCUGCCUUGAUUCCUUGCCUUGUCUUCCCUGAUUUAUGAUAUUGCCCUCUAAUCUGACAUAUAUUUACUCCACAAGUUGCCUUCCAUUAUGGUGUUUUUUCAUAGCAAUAGAAAUCUUAAGACAGAAAUUGACUAUGGAGAGACAAGUCCAAUUGAGGCAAAACCUGAGAAAGAUUUUCUAGGAUGAGUAUACAAAAGCCGAGACACAGAGAGCUCCAAAGAUGUUCCUUGUGCUGGUGGUCUGAGUAAUGUAUAGGUUUCCCAGAUUAUACUUGCUUCAGAGACAUGAAAGGGUCAUAAAGGGCAUGAGAAAACAAUGAUUAAGAUGAAGUCAGUUGCAUAAAAAGCCCCAUCAUUAAUGUUGCAGUGGUGAAGAGCUGAAGCUCAGAACUGGUGUGGUAGGGUUCCUAAUCCCUGAAGAAAUCUAUGUGAAUGUGCAGAGAGCCUCUGUCAAGCUGAACAGGGAUAACAACAAUGGAUAUGUUAAAGUGGAUGAGAAAAAUCUCAUGAGAUUUCAACCAUACACAAAGAACCAUAUGCAACUGAAGAAAGGUGAGAAGAGGAGAAAUUGCAUUUCCAUGGGAGGAACACAACAAUUGAUUGUCCGUUGACUAAAGCUAGAUAAGAAAUCCACAUUAUAUAACUUUAUGAGCACCAAGAAUCCUUGUUUGUGUGUCUCUUCAAGACAAGCUUUUAUUAAACAGCUUCAGGGUUGAAAGAAAAAUAUUUAUAGCAGAGAUCUCCAGAGCUAAUAAUACAACCAAGCAGAUACAUAUGGAAAAAUUGAAUGGAAGUCCUUGAUCAGGUACUGAUCUUUCAAGAAUUCUAUCUUAUUUAUUUUUCAUGCUUAAACUGAGACAUUUGGAUUCUGGGAGGAAGACUGCUACACAAUAUGAAAAGGAAACAUGUUGUCAGCAUAGAGGAGACAUCACAAGCCAUAUCCUACAAGAAAGAUCAGAGGAAGAGAAUGAACAACUUCACCCUCACUGUCUCAUCAGGGGACAGACUGCAUACUUUCUCAGCGUGAAAUAUCUUGUGAAAAAUUUGACCCCCUCCCCUGGAAAAUCUGGAUAAAGGAAUUUUGAUUGUGCUUGUGCUGCAGCUUGAGUCAACAAGAAGAUUCAAAGUGAUGGUGAAGAGAGGAGUGACUUACCCUAAAUUCAAAAGAAUCAUCACUAAGAAAGCAUAAAGGAAAUAAGAGCUAGUCAUUUAAAGCAGUCAAGUCACUGGAAGAGCUAACAAAGUUAUUAAUAUUGCAAAGUAGAGCAUUCUGUGUGUUAGAGGGAUGGCAAGGAGCCUUCAUUAGCUGGAGUAGGAUGAGUCCAGACAAAAUGAAUAGGAAAUGCCAUUGGGGAGAUAAAAACUGAAAUAUCA